UCCUUUUUAUAUAUUGCUAGAUUUGGUUUUCUAGCAUUUUGUUUAUAGUUGGGUUUUUGCAAAGUGUGUUUAAUAGAUUUGCAUAAUGAAGAGAGAAGUGGAAAGUGUCUCAUAUUAUUUCACCAACUGCUAAACGCUACCACCCUACAAAAGGCCUUACAGAAACUUAUCCUAUUUACUUCUACCUUUGUGCUAGAUGGAGGUCAUUUAAUGUUCUAAUGUAUCCUGUGUAGGGGUGUUCCUAUCUCGCAGAUGAGAAAACAAAGAGGCAAAGAUUUUUUUGGGGGGGAUUGUUUAACACUUAUCCUUUCUUAAAUAGGGAUUGAUGCUGCAAAGAAAAUAAGUGAGACAGAGCCAAAUAAGCAGUGGAUUUUUUUGAAGAAACCCCCUUAUCACUGAAGAUUUAUUGAGAUGUAAUUGACACAUAGCAUCGUGAAGAUAUACAUGACCAAAAUAUAUUCUAGAAGUUGAAAACCUGGAUUAAAUAUGGUGGUGUGAGAGGUGAGACAGAAACCUCCACCCAAAACCACAUGUAAUAUGAAAAUAUAGCAAAUACGUCAAAUCCUGAAAGAGCAACAGGAAAGAAGGCUGUAGCAGACUGUCUAUACCUGGGGAAACCAGCAGACUUGAAGGAAAAGGGUAAGUACCCUAGAGGGACCCAAGCUCUCCCCCCUGCCCAGCUCACCAGAGGGAGAAAGAGAAAUGGAGCGGGAAAGGGGUGGAGGCCUAGGACUCCUGAACACUCUGCCCUGGAGAUCUGCUCUGGGAGUACAAACCUACAUUACAUGGUGCUCUGGAGAUUAGUGGGAUUAGAAAGUGAAGACAGGUAGAAUGCUUGGAGAGACUGAAAUUCCAGAUGCCUGUGGAAGACAGGGAUCCACAUCUGACCACUCUGGGACAAAAGAAAGGUGGGCAGUCUGAGAGACUUCCUAACAGCAAAAGGGCUGCUAAAAGGGCAAGGAUUGUACAGCUUCUGGCUCAGGAGACAGGUGGACAAAAUUGUCCAGGCGCACUCUGCACAGCAGAUUGGGAACUUACAGGAACUUCAGGCGCUCCAUCUCCCUGGCUGGCUACACAGCUCCAAGGCCCCCCCAUCGUGACACACAGCCUGCUGUGCCUUUUUCCCAGCCAGCACAGACUCACAAAUCAGAUGCCCCUGCCAUUG